rnacentral:tRNA from 1 species
GCUUCGGUAGCUUAGCGAUCCAAAGCACUCGGCGGAUAACCGAGAGAUCAGGGUUAAAUCCCUCCCGGAGUACCA